CCCCCCCCCCCCAAAUCGGAUUUUGGCCUCUCUUUCACAUUUCAAGAGCUAGCUUCAUCUUCUUACAAGAAAACAAAAAAGAAGGCAGCCGUUUGAACCAUAGAGACCUCACGCUAAAGACCAAAAAAGAGGCUUCAGCACAAAAAGGACCAGCUGCUGCUCUCUUCAUCUUCCUCCUCUUCAACGCUGUCACCAUCGCCGGCGAACUAGGCAGCCCAUCACACUGUUAAUUUCUAGUACUCUGCUGCCCCUUCCCCGAAUUUUCUAGACACUCAUCACACACAUAGUGACGAGAGACGAACAAUAGCGAAGAGGAGGUGUGACAAGCUGCCUAUCUUCAUAACGCCAAAAGCUCCAAAAGCUCUACUGGAAAACGCAGCAACACAGCAAGGAAAACAAUUUCAAAAAUCAAUCUAGACAGCCCGCUUCUGCCCUGUUCUAACCCAGUCAAAGUUAUGUCCAUUUUCGGGUUCGCCGGCGAGUUUCGAUACUCCGUCUGGGGGCUGGUCAUGGUCCUGUCCAUUUCUGCUUGUUCAAGUUAUUAAGCAUCAAGUUUUGUUUGGAUGAGGAAAAGUUGAAGUUCAUAGAGGCAAUAUAGCUAAAGUCAGUAAUUGUGACAAUUAUAUUGGAUUUGGAAAUCACCUCGCAAAGCCAUUAUCCGUGAUAAAUGGCGCGAAAACUUGAGCUGUGAAGAAGAUGUUAAGGUAUUGGAGAAAUGUAUGCGUGUUCUAUUACUCAAGUGUGAAAACUUGAGCUUCAGGUACUGAACCGAAACGUAGAGGCUCAUUCUGUUUCCAUUUUACACAAUUGUUUAAAUGUUUGGAGCAAGUCGUUUGUUUAAUUUGUUGAUAUGCUGUAUUUGUUCUGCUCAUUACUCUCUGUUGUUGGCAGUAACUUGUUGGUUCGAGAGUGAGGCAUAAAAUCUUAGUUCAUUUAAAUCUAAUUUGACACUUAACAAGUAUGAGUAAAGUUGGGUUUAAACUCAUUUAAGCAGAAUUUAGUUUACAUCAAUCUAACUUUAAGGUGAUUUCUUCUGUUUAUCCGAGUUAAUUUAAUCGUUAGGAGUAUGCUUAGGCCAUUAAUAUUCAUAAACAUCGUAGCUUUUUCCUUAGGCAUGAUUAAUAAUAAAUCAUCGUGACUACGGGUACGGUUCCCGUGACGUAGUUGUGAUACACAAUUCUAAAAUCCAGGGGUACAUUUAUGUGACCCGGCCACAAUUUCAUCUUGUUAAUAAAAUAAACAUGUUGUAGAUCGUGUGUACGGUUCCCGUGACAUGAUUCGUAUUGUGUAAUCAAAUAAUUAGUUGUAUGGCAAUCGGAUUUUAAAAGCGGUUUUAAAAAGGGACAAAAUGCACAUAGGUUUCAAAAAUGUAAUUAAUCAGAUAAUUAGGCCAAUAAUAAUAGUUGAGCGACCGCGCUAAAAUCACGGAACCCGAGAAUGCCUAACACCUUCUGUUGGGUUAACAGAAUUUCUUACCUAAAUUUCUGUGUUCGUAAACCAUAAAUAAGAGUCAAACUUCCUCGAUUCGGGAUUCAAACCGGUGACUUGGGAUCAUCUCCACUCUGAAUUUAAUAUAGUCAUUUCGAUUGUCACUUUAAUUGGAAAAACUCCUCUAUACCCCCUUCCUGUUGUAGGAAGUGGAGGUGUAACAGCUCUGGCGACUCUGCUGGGGACAAGAACCCAAAAUCUCUGGUUCAGGGUUCUGAAUUCGAGCUUAGAAUAACUGUUAUAGUUGGAUUUUAUUUAUUAUCUUAUUUUUACGUGUUUGAGUUUAAUGCGCUAAAUGUUGCUUUUUGCCGCUUUGAUAUUAUUUGAACUCUGUAUAAACUGCUGCAAAACCCCUCUCUUCUAAUCUUCUGGGAAGUGCACACUGACGUGACUUCUUUUUUGUUAGUGUCAUAUCCAAUUUAGAACAAGG
rnacentral:lncRNA from 1 species